rnacentral:rRNA from 1 species
GACCUGAGAGGGUGACCGGCCACAUUGGGACUGAGACACGGCCCAAACUCCUAGGGGAGGCAGCAGUGGGGAAUAUUGCACAAUGGGGGAAACCCUGAUGCAGCGACGCCGCGAGAAGGAAGAAGUAUUUCGGUAUGUAAAUCUCUAUCAGCAAGGAAGAAAAGACGUACCUGAGUAAGAAGCCCCGGCUAACUACGUGCCAGCAG